GUUUUCGAGGGGGAAAUGCAAGCACAUUCUCCAGCAUGGAGUCCCUAGAGGCAGUGCAUUUUAAACCCUAAAUGUGAAUUAUUAUGUGAGUGUCCGAGUAGAGUUCCAGUUCCGUUUGGAGAAACUGUAUGAGGCGUGUUCCGUGUGGGUGUGUGUGCGUACGGAUACGUGGAAGCAGGAUCUCGGUGUCGCGGGUGUCCCUAGGCUGGGAUCUCCCCCUCUCAUCAGAUAAGGAGAAUCCUCUAGCUCCCCAAAACUGGCCCCCAUAACCAAUCCCGUCUCAGUUCGUAAGGGGUUAACCAAAGCCGAUUCCAAGGAAACACAGGUCCCCCCCACCCCCCGCCACCCUCCACUUACCCCACCCACAGUUCUGCCUCGGACCCCGGCCAAUCCCCCAGAUCUCCCCCGGGACCCCCCACCCCGCAGCCCACCCACCCGAGCGCACAGCUCCUCACCUGAGGGGCCCAGUCGCGUCGGGCCUCCCGAGGGGGCUGCGAGUGUCAGUCGGCUCUCCGCACGUGUCCGCGGCCUCGCGGAGCAGUCCACCCCUGGCUGGUUUCUGCUUCCACCUGCUGAUCUCACAGAGGUGAGGUGAUAACAGUGAUGAAACAAAAUCUUCAAACCACAGCACACUUGAUUUUGACACAAAGCAAGAUACUGAACAUUAACACCACCACAGAGGCCUACUAUGUGCUCCUGUCCCUGUUGUUACUUCCUCCAAAGCACUGCAAGCUAUUUGGCAUAUGAAGGUCUUGACCUGAGAAAACCAUCUUGGAUAACUGCAGCAAGGAAAAGGAAAAAUGCAACACCUAGGAGAUUUCAGUAAACAGUAGAAUCAUGCCAACCUAAUCUGUGUUAAAAUGCUUGGAAUGUGGGAGCCGCUGAUGAUGCCUCUUGUCUGUGUGUCUGACUGAAUCCUUUCUUUUCUCAGAGCAGCAAAGCAAAGCCUGGGAACCAGGCCAAAUGCCUGCCACUUACCUUAAAUUGAUCAGCCACUUUGAGAUUAAAACCCCUGAAAGCUGCCACACCGUGAAAACAAGGCCUCCUUCACAUUAAAGGCAAAUUGCGACUUUGGGUUUGCUGUGAUCUUUUUUCCAUUUUAUCCAGUUUUUCACAGUGCACUUUUUUCCCCCUUUCCAUUUAUGCUCCAAUAUAGAAGCCAAUAGUUACAGCAUCUUGGCCAAGCAUUCAUUAAGGUUUAUAAGAACAAAAUUUAUGGUUAUUUAGGAGUUGGCACAAAGGCAGACUGUUGCUGGAAAAAGAAAAAGAAAUACAGGUGGGAAAUAGAAGCCUCCACAAAGGCCCACACUAUACAGUAGUGUACUAGACUCUAGUAGUGGGCUGGGAGGAAAAUGAAAUAGUAUUUGAAACCAGCUACUCUUCUAUUCUGAAUCAUUCUCAUUUAUGGCUCUGCAGAUUAUUGAAACAAGUAUACUGGUUAUUCCAGGAGAUUUUUCUGUCUUGGGUAAAUGCUACCAUUUACAGGAGCUGACAGUAGAGAUAAAUAGAUGUGUGCCAAUCUGAGUGAUCUGGCAGUUUGGCUAAAGGAUAAAGUGCAUUUAAAAAAGAAAUAUAUAUA
rnacentral:lncRNA from 10 species